rnacentral:rRNA from 1 species
UACAGAGGGGGCAAGCGUUAUUCGGAAUUAUUGGGCGUAAAGGGCGCGUAGGCGGCCUUUCAAGUGGAAGGUGAAAUCCCUCGGCUUAACCGAGGAACUGCCCUCCAAACUGCUUGGCUUGAGACCGGGAGAGGUGAGUGGAAUUCCCAGUGUAGCGGUGAAAUGCGUAGAUAUUGGGAGGAACACCAGUGGCGAAGGCGGCUCACUGGACCGGUACUGACGCUGAGACGCGAAAGCGUGGGUAGCAAACAGG